ACCAGUCAAGAUUGUAACGUUUGGAAAUAAGAGACUUUAUGGACACUUUACCCCCGUGGAGGACAGGACAACGACUUAUUCAAACAGGAUAAGUCAACAUUAAGAUGAAUGAUGUCAUGAAUAAAGGAGGAUGAUGAUGAAGAUGACAGAAGGAUGAAACAUGACUUGAGGAGCUGCAGCAGAUGUGUGUUGUGUCAAACGACCCUCUCGUCUAGGUCGAAAACGACAGUCUUUUUAUGAGCCUACACUGUUAUGAAGACUCCCACCAGUCGAUGUAGAAAAUGUUUCUUUAUACAUAUAUAUAAAAUGACUAAACUAGCCCUAUGCACAGAGCGCUACCAGCUUGAUGGAUGACUCACAGUAAUGCUGUGAAAUGGCUCAACCCACACACACAGCCACUCGCUAAAACACACACUCAUACUAACUAUUGCAGCACAACACCCGAGCAAACCCAUACUGUAUAAACCCAUGUAGCACACACACACACACACACACACAC